rnacentral:rRNA from 1 species
UACGUAGGGUGCGAGCGUUAAUCGGAAUUACUGGGCGUAAAGCGUGCGCAGGCGGUUCGUUGUGUCUGAUGUGAAAUCCCCGGGCUUAACCUGGGAAUGGCAUUUGAAACUGGCGAGCUGGAGUGUGGCAGAGGGGGGUGGAAUUCCGCGUGUAGCAGUGAAAUGCGUAGAGAUGUGGAGGAACACCGAUGGCGAAGGCAGCCCCCUGGGAUAACACCGACGCUCAGGCACGAAAGCGUGGGGAGCAAACAGG